CACUACGUAACUUCUUUCAUUUGUCAUGUUAGAAUUUAGAUACACAGUUUUGUUUUGGGCAAGUUGCUUAUAGACAGUUUUUUGAUUUAUUUCCCGGGCCUAAUACCAAUGUGAUGUGCAGAUAACUUAUAUCCAGCCAAGCGCUUGCCUUGACGUCCUCACAGCUGGAGAUCCAUGACUAAGAGCUCUCCUCAAUGUAUGCAGGUACUGCCUAGACCUUAAAGAAGUUAAUUGAUGUUAAUAUAUAGUUAAUAUGUUUUUCUGAAUUUAUUUUGAGGGAAAAUGAUCAGGUCGCCGAGUAAAUAUCCAACUCGGUCUGUUUUCAGUGCGCAUAUAUCAUUUCCUCAAUUAGUAAUGCAAAUUAGCAGCCACUUCAAUUUUUUGUUUGCAUUUUCUUUGCAAUCAGCAAGGAACCCAAGGACAGAUGUACAUUCGCUCACGUGAAUUCUAGCCCCUAGAUUGUUUGUGGCUUUGGGCAAUACAGAAUUGGAGAACUUGCUGUAAAGGUUUGGAUAGAAUGUCAUAGUUGUAUCCACAACUGCUUAAUCAUUAAUUUGUAGUUGAAAUCCUGCACGCAUCUCUCUGUAUUUGUUUAUCUUAUCGGCUAUCAUGCACCAUAACUUGAUGAAUGGAAAUACCAGUAAAGUUUCGACAGCGGUAAGUUUCCACAAAUAUACAGUUUCUGUAUAUCAAGGUUGUCUCCCAGUGAUUCACUCCUUGUUCAAGUGCUGGCAUACAUAAACUUAAACAAAAAAAAUAUGUACACAUGUUUAUCACUCUAAACACAAAAAGCCUUUAGAAUCAGCGAUAACUUUAGAAAAAGCUGGCCUGGAUUCUGAAUAUGCUAGAUAAUAUGGCUUCCUCUAUUAUAACACCCAAAAAAAAGGCUUGUGCAUGACUGAUGCUAUCCAACUAGAUGGUGUAAUAAUUACUACUGAUUUUUGCAUGACAGUGGGUUGUCACAUAUUCGCAACAGGGCUGAGCAGUCGUGUAGCGUCGCUGGUUGUGUUCAUUAGUGUGAUUGAUAUGUUCUUGUUUGUUGGUGGUCUCUAUAUGUUUGUUCUUGUGAGAACUAAACACAUUCUGUUUUUUCAGGUCUCCAUUCAAGCGGAUGAUGACAAAUGUAUGAUGGAUAGAGAGGAAUAAGUUUUCUAGAAAACGUCUUCGUAUUUUAGUGUAUGGUUUUUUAGAGAGGAGGCGCUUUCCCGGCUUUAGCGAAAUGAAGCCCUUAAAGCGUUUACAACCAGAGUAGCAAAACGAGAAUAAAAAAGGGGUUCGAUACAAGCCACACAGGGCUAACACACAAGGCCGAACGAAAACGAAAAACUGAGCAUAACGGAGGAUCAGUCUCCAGGCAUAUUUUUUAGUGAAAUAAGGUGGGUACAAGUAAUUCUAGAUCCAAAUUUAGAGCUCUUGCCAGUAAUCAGUAGCAAAAUUCAAGAUUGCCGAGAAGAGAGGUGAACCUAAAGGCUUUAGCACUAUUGUUAGGAUACUAUGUUGCUUCCAGGCUAUGGAUAAGAAUAGUUCAGUCGCUUGAGAGAUUGUUGAACAUAUGAAAUUGUUGGAAAUCUCUGGGCACCCUCAAGUUAAGCUGCUUGAAAACCAAGUUCAAAUAUGUGUGAGGGUAGUGCAGUUGGGCAUGCGAUUCUAUUGCACCUGAUGUAAUCGGACCAUUAGAUCAGUUUUGAAAUAGUGAUCUUCGAACAAUUUUUUUUGUACUUGUAGGGAUAGUUUUCAUUACUUGAGACAUUUCCCAGAACCAUUAGUAGUCUUGUACAUUGAAUCAAUUUAUUAUACGGCUUUGUUAUUCCUAGGGACAUGUUGAUUGUUUUUCCAUUACAUAGCAUUGUUUUACGGCCAUCGGGCUACCAUCUGUUCCUUGAGGCUGGUGAUUGUACCGUAUUCGUGAUGAUACGUAUGUCCCUUUUAUGUUCCAUUCUUCAGAUAUUAAUG
rnacentral:lncRNA from 1 species